rnacentral:rRNA from 1 species
UGAGCAAUCUGCCCUUCUCAUCGGAAUAAGCGUUGGAAACGACGUCUAAUGCCGAAUACGACCUCCUUUCGCAUGAUCGGAGGUGGAAAGCUCCGGCGGAGAAGGAUGAGCUCGCGGCCUAUCAGCUAGUUGGUGUGGGUAAUGGCCCACCAAGGCGACGACGGGUAGCCGGCCUGAGAGGGUGACCGGCCACACGUGGGACUGAGACACGGCCCAGACCUCCGUACGGGAGCA